AUUGAACGCUGGCGGCAUGCCUUACACAUGCAAGUCGAACGGCAGCACGGGUGCUUGCACCUGGUGGCGAGUGGCGAACGGGUGAGUAAUACAUCGGAACAUGUCCUGUAGUGGGGGAUAGCCCGGCGAAAGCCGGAUUAAUACCGCAUACGAUCCACGGAUGAAAGCGGGGGACCUUCGGGCCUCGCGCUAUAGGGUUGGCCGAUGGCUGAUUAGCUAGUUGGUGGGGUAAAGGCCUACCAAGGCGACGAUCAGUAGCUGGUCUGAGAGGACGACCAGCCACACUGGGACUGAGACACGGCCCAGACUCCUACGGGAGGCAGCAGUGGGGAAUUUUGGACAAUGGGCGAAAGCCUGAUCCAGCAAUGCCGCGUGUGUGAAGAAGGCCUUCGGGUUGUAAAGCACUUUUGUCCGGAAAGAAAUCCUUGGCUCUAAUACAGUCGGGGGAUGACGGUACCAGAAGAAUAAGCACCGGCUAACUACGUG
rnacentral:rRNA from 1 species